AUUCAGAUCAGAUCUUUAUUCAGAUCUGAGAAUGAGACUCUGAAUCUCAGGGCUGUGGGUUCAAGUCCCGUUUUGGAUG